AAAUGUUGUCCCAGGGACAUCGUGUAGAUGUUGUCCCAGGGACAUCGUGUAGAUGUUGUCCCUGGGACAUCGUGUGAUAGCUUGUUAAUAAUGGAAUGAAAAUUAUUGAUUGUUAUUAACUUGUGAAAAAGAAGUGUAACAAAUCCACAUGUUAUGUUCUUACACCCUUACAGAAACUGUGACUCCUUCACAAUGUCAGAUUACCUUGUGGGAGUAGCUGGACCAAACUCUAUUGGUAUUUCAAGUUUGAAAUCCCUGUUUGACCAGACAAACAUUUCAGAUGAGGUAAUAGAUGGCCUAAUCUAUUUGCAGUGUGAGAAUUUCCCUCACAUUUAUCCAAUACCAAGCCAAAUCACUGGAAAAAUUUUGGAUGGGUCCACAAGAGCACAAAGUGCAUACUUUUUGAAGAAAAACAUCUUUCAGAUGUAUGAGAAAUUGAUUGGAGCCUGUCUGGAAAACGGCAGCCACUGGACCUUGUUUUUUUGUGACAUACCCAAGAGGACCAUAGCCUAUAUGAAUUCAUUUGGCGAGUCGGAGGUCAGAAAAAGUGCGGUGUUGAAAAACUGGAGCUCAUUUGCUUCAGCAAGAGGCUGCACUGGAGAGUGGACUUUGUCACAUGUGAGCCACCCACAUCAACAGGAUGGGAACUCAUGUGGAGUGCAUGUCAUAAUGGUACUGAAAACUAUAGCUUUAACCUAUAUAAGUAAUGUUUACAUUUUUGUCUAUUCAGUUUUUAAAGCCUUAGAGGCAGGAUGGUAAAAUCUCAAUUUUUGUUGUAGAUUGAACCAUUUCAGCAGUAAUGCUUUGGCUUUGGUUGCUCUAUUUUUUUUUCUCGGGGGGUGUAAAAAAAAAACCCAUUUCUUUGUUAAUCUAAUUCUUUUUGUUCUUUUUUUUUUUUUCUUCGUCAAUUAUUAGUUUCCCCAAUCUCUCAUUGACGGUAAAACACAAGUGGAGGAGUACAACACUGAAAUCACAAAGCUCAGGUCCCGACUUUGCCACUACUUAUUUUCCUCAAUAGGUAAAGAUAAAAUUAGCCGCCUUCUUUUUCUCUAACAUUGGAAAAUGUAACUUGUACUUAAACAAAUUAUAUUUUGCAGAACGAACUAGGAAGUGCAGUCAGUGCUGGUGUGUGAUUGCAGCCAAAGACCGGGUACACUAUGACAUGUCCUUAGCCAUAUAGAUUGUUUAUAUAAUGGACUUUGUUCAUUUGUUUUUUGUUUGUUUAUUUCUUCUUCUUUUUUUUUUUUUAAUUCACAGGUGCAGUGCCAGAAAUGUGGUGCAUACAAGCACAUGCGUUGUUCAAAGUCUGUUUGUGGCAUCUGUAUCUUCUGUGAGAGUAAGUCACAAUAUACAGCUGUGGUCAAAAGUUUACAUACACUUGUAAAGAAUAGAAUAUAAUGGCUCUACCGAGUGUCCCGUUAUUUCUAAAACUCUGAUUUUUCUCUGAUAGAGUGAUUGGAACAGAUACUUCUUUGUCACAAAAAACAUUCAUGAAGUUUGGUUCUUUAAUGACUUUAUUAUGGGUUAACAGAAAAAAGUGAUCACAUCUGCUGGGUCAAAAAUAUACAUACAGCAGUGCUAAUAUUUGGUUACAUGUCCCUUAGCCAUUUUCACUUCAAUUAGGCGCUUUUGGUAGCCAUCCACAAGCUUCUGGUUGAAUCUUUG
ensembl:lncRNA